rnacentral:rRNA from 1 species
UACGUAGGGGCCGAGCGUUGUCCGGAGUUAUUGGGCGUAAAGCGCGCGCAGGCGGCCUCGCGCGCCCGACGUGAAAGCCCCCGGCUUAACCGGGGAGAGUCGUUGGGGACGGCGGGGCUUGAGGGCGGGAGAGGUCGGUGGAAUUCCCGGUGUAGUGGUGAAAUGCGUAGAGAUCGGGAGGAACACCUGUGGCGAAGGCGGCCAACUGGGCCGACCCUGACGCGUGAGGCGCGAAGGCGUGGGGAGCGAACGGG